AUACUUACCUGACAAUGAAAAAAACUACCUUUAAAAUCAAGAUAUUUUUUCCAGAGCAGCACUCAGCAAUUGAGCCUCACUCCAGCGGUGCUGACCUUUGUGAUUUACCUACAUGCAGGAAACUCAACUAAAAAAAUUCUGAUAGUGGGAGCUGGGUUUGCAUUUUUA
rnacentral:snRNA from 1 species